GACGAACGCUGGCGGCGUGCUUAACACAUGCAAGUCGAACGGAAAGGCCCCUUUGGGGGUACUCGAGUGGCGAACGGGUGAGUAACACGUGAGUAACCUGCCCUUGACUUCGGGAUAACUUCAGGAAACUGGGGCUAAUACCGGAUAGGAAUCCUUGCUGCAUGGUGGGGGUUGGAAAGCUUCGGCGGCUUUGGAUGGACUCGCGGCCUAUCAGCUUGUUGGUGGGGUAGUGGCUUACCAAGGCUUUGACGGGUAGCCGGCCUGAGAGAGCGACCGGCCACAUUGGGACUGAGAUACGGCCCAGACUCCUACGGGAGGCAGCAGUGGGGAAUAUUGCACAAUGGGCGGAAGCCUGAUGCAGCAACGCCGCGUGCGGGAUGACGGCCUUCGGGUUGGAAACCGCUUUCAGCAGGGGCGAAGCUUGUGGUGACGGUACCUGCAGAAGAAGCACCGGCUAACUACGUG
rnacentral:rRNA from 1 species